UGCUGCCUUCCCAGCAAAGCAGGGUGAGGGACAGAAGGGAGCCCUUACAUGGAGCCCCUUCCGUCCCUCAUCCUGCUUUGCUGGGAAGCCAGCA
rnacentral:miRNA from 1 species